UCGCGUCUGCCGUGAAAGUCCGAGGCUCAACCUCGGAUCUGCGGUGGGUACGGGCAGACUAGAGUGAUGUAGGGGAGACUGGAAUUCCUGGUGUAGCGGUGAAAUGCGCAGAUAUCAGGAGGAACACCGAUGGCGAAGGCAGGUCUCUGGGCAUUUACUGACGCUGAGGAGCGAAAGCAUGGGGAGCGAACAGGAUUAGAUACCCUGGUAGUCCAUGCCGUAAACGUUGGGCACUAGGUGUGGGGGACAUUCCACGUUUUCCGCGCCGUAGCUAACGCAUUAAGUGCCCCGCCUGGGGAGUACGGCCGCAAGGCUAAAACUCAAAGGAAUUGACGGGGGCCCGCACAAGCGGCGGAGCAUGCGGAUUAAUUCGAUGCAACGCGAAGAACCUUACCAAGGCUUGACAUGUUCCAGACCGGGCCAGAGAUGGUCUUUCCCCUUUUGGGGCUGGUUCACAGGUGGUGCAUGGUUGUCGUCAGCUCGUGUCGUGAGAUGUUGGGUUAAGUCCCGCAACGAGCGCAACCCUCGUUCCAUGUUGCCAGCGGGUUAUGCCGGGGACUCAUGGGAGACUGCCGGGGUCAACUCGGAGGAAGGUGGGGAUGACGUCAAAUCAUCAUGCCCCUUAUGUCUUGGGCUUCACGCAUGCUACAAUGGCCGGUACAAUGGGUUGCGAUACUGUGAGGUGGAGCUAAUCCCUAAAAGCCGGUCUCAGUUCGGAUUGGGGUCUGCAACUCGACCCCAUGAAGUCGGAGUCGCUAGUAAUCGCAGAUCAGCAACGCUGCGGUGAAUACGUUCCCGGGCCUUGUACACACCGCCCGUCAAGUCACGAAAGUUGGUAACACCCGAAGCCGAUGGCCUAACCACCUUGUGUGG
rnacentral:rRNA from 1 species